rnacentral:lncRNA from 1 species
UGUUGCUCUACUAAAUGGAUGAAGAAGUUGACUACUGCAUUCUCGACUUGUACAGUCACAGUGUCUGGCAAAUAUCCAACCUUAAUCCUCUCCACAUGAAAAGCUAAAAAUAUGUUGUUCAUAACAAUUUAACUACUAAAAUAACUUAUAAGAAUGUGUUUGAUUUCUCCAACUAUUACAUAUGCAAUAAGUAAAGCUGAUUUCUGUAUUUUAAACACAGUGUUGAGCAUAAUUCCAUAUAACCGUGCAUUCAAAUCUUCUUCGACGACUUUUGCGGCAAUAGAUAUACAUAUGUUGGCUGAUGUGUUUGCAAUAUCGAUAAACUCGUUAUCUUCAUUACAGACCUACAAAUAUAAAAAAAUACAAAUGACGUUCAGUUUUUAGCAUCCAAAUUACAUAGGGUAUUUAAAUAGUCUCUUCAUCUUAGUUCCAUAUAAGUGUGCAUUCAAAUCUUCAUGGAUCACUGUUGCGGCAAUAGAUAUACCUAUGUUGGCUGAUGAGUUUGCAAUAUCGAUUAACAAAUUAUCUUCAUUAGCGACCUACAAAUUUAAAAUAAUACAAAUGAGGUUUACUUCGAUCAUGAAAUUGAUAGACGGUUCUGUCCAACAUGAUUGUUGCCUCUGACUGACAUUGGGUCAACUAACUGUUGCUGCAUACCUGUUGGAACUAUGACUGUAUUGUUUUUGUCAUGAAGUUUGUUUACUGCUGCAACAAAUUUUUGGUCAGUACGUGCUGCUCCUGCUUCUGUAUUAUCACAUGAAUCAAUAGAACUGAGGCACCUAAAUUGGCCUUCCCAGUUUCAGCUUAUGUCUGCAACAUCACAGUUUGUCCCUCUGCAAGCUCCACCAAUAUUCCUGUUUCUCCAACCUGUUUUUCAACAGGUAUAUUAGGUUAAUCUGGAGGUAAAUAUUUUUUAGGAUUAGUAUUCAAAUUCUUCUGCACUUCCCCUCCAUCAUCUCCUUUUUGACAACUGUAACCUUAAUCUAUAUUCUCCUCAUCUCCUCUCUUUCUUUCUACUGUUUGUUGCCCUUACCUUUGUUAUUUACACUGUGUUAUUCCUAGUAAUUUUAUUUAUCAGAUGAUUCCUCCUCUCCACAAGGACCAUCUGGUAAUAUAUCCUCUUCAAUAACCUAUUCAUCUUGUUGGCUCCACCUUGUGUAGCCUUAGUUUGAGCUAGUAGGCAAUUAGAUACUUCAAUAAAACCGAUAAGAAAAUAUUAAGGCUAUAUUGAAAAUAUCGCCUUAAUUAGCGCUGGAUUUGUAUUAUCGAUCUUAAGUAACUAAAUAUAAUUUGACGAUAUGUGGCAAAAGUUGGCUACCAUAUAAAACUGUAAUAAAUUUGCAUGAAGAAAUAAUUACACUAUAUAGAUAACAUAAAACUUAAGAAACUUGAUUUCUUUCAAUAUGGUUAAUGAUACAUAUUUUAUAAUGUUACUACGAUAAAUUCUAUAAAGUUAAGAUUCAGUGUUACAAACCUCGGAAAGGAACCGAGUCAUUGAUGGUCGCUCCCAUAUCCACGACGUCUGAAAACCAAAGUUCUGCUCGAUCAGGACAAACAGCGAAUGGAAAGUGCUUCCUG